CGGGGUGCAGCAGGCGCGAAAACUUUGCAAUGCGGGAAACCGUGACAAGGGAACUCUGAGUGCCCGUAAAAUCGGGCUGUCCAUCGGUUUAAAUAACCGGUGAAGAAAGGGCCGGGCAAGACCGGUGCCAGCCGCCGCGGUAAUACCGGCGGCUCGAGUGGUGGCCACUAUUACUGGGCUUAAAGCGUUCGUAGCUGGUUUGUUAAGUCUCUGGGGAAAUCUUCCGGCUUAACCGGAAGGCGUUUCAGGGAUACUGGCAGACUAGGGACCGGGAGAGGUGAGAGGUACUCCAGGGGUAGGAGUGAAAUCCUGUAAUCCUUGGGGGACCACCUGUGGCGAAGGCGUCUCACCAGAACGGCUCCGACAGUGAGGGACGAAAGCUGGGGGAGCAAACCGGAUUAGAUACCCGGGUAGUCCCAGCCGUAAACGAUGCGCGUUAGGUGUAUCGGUGACCACGAGUCACCGAGGUGCCGAAGAGAAAUCGUGAAACGUGCCGCCUGGGAAGUACGGUCGCAAGGCUGAAACUUAAAGGAAUUGGCGGGGGAGCACAAGGGCGAAUGCG
rnacentral:rRNA from 1 species